rnacentral:rRNA from 1 species
CUACUGGGGUUUCUAAUCCUGUUUGCUACCCACACUUUCGAGCCUCAACGUCAGUUACAGUCCAGCAAGCCGCCUUCGCCACUGGUGUUCUUCCAUAUAUCUACGCAUUCCACCGCUACACAUGGAGUUCCACUUGCCUCUACUGCACUCAAGUUAACCAGUUUCCAAAGCUAUUCCACAGUUGAGCUGUGGGCUUUCACUUCAGACUUAAUUAACCGUCUGCGCUCGCUUUACGCCCAAUAAAUCCGGAUAACGCUCGGGACAUACGUAUUACCGCGGCUGCUGGCAC